UAUAAUUCUAAUUAAAACUCUAAUUAAACUUUAAUCAAAUUUUAAAUCAAAUUCUAAUUGAUACUUUAAUUAGACCUUAAUCAAAUUUUAUGUCAAAUCUUAAUAAAAUCCUAAUAAAAUAUUAAAUCCUAUAUGAACCUCAUAUAAAUCCUAAUCAAUCUUUAGUCAAGUUUUAAACCAAAUCCUAAGCAAAUCCCAAUUUUAACCAAAUCCUUGAC
rnacentral:lncRNA from 1 species